GGACGAACGCUGGCGGCGUGCCUAAUACAUGCAAGUCGAGCGGACAGAUGGGAGCUUGCUCCCUGAUGUUAGCGGCGGACGGGUGAGUAACACGUGGGUAACCUGCCUGUAAGACUGGGAUAACUCCGGGAAACCGGGGCUAAUACCGGAUGGUUGUCUGAACCGCAUGGUUCAGACAUAAAAGGUGGCUUCGGCUACCACUUACAGAUGGACCCGCGGCGCAUUAGCUAGUUGGUGAGGUAACGGCUCACCAAGGCGACGAUGCGUAGCCGACCUGAGAGGGUGAUCGGCCACACUGGGACUGAGACACGGCCCAGACUCCUACGGGAGGCAGCAGUAGGGAAUCUUCCGCAAUGGACGAAAGUCUGACGGAGCAACGCCGCGUGAGUGAUGAAGGUUUUCGGAUCGUAAAGCUCUGUUGUUAGGGAAGAACAAGUGCCGUUCAAAUAGGGCGGCACCUUGACGGUACCUAACCAGAAAGCCACGGCUAACUACGUGCCAGCAGCCGCGGUAAUACGUAGGUGGCAAGCGUUGUCCGGAAUUAUUGGGCGUAAAGGGCUCGCAGGCGGUUUCUUAAGUCUGAUGUGAAAGCCCCCGGCUCAACCGGGGAGGGUCAUUGGAAACUGGGGAACUUGAGUGCAGAAGAGGAGAGUGGAAUUCCACGUGUAGCGGUGAAAUGCGUAGAGAUGUGGAGGAACACCAGUGGCGAAGGCGACUCUCUGGUCUGUAACUGACGCUGAGGAGCGAAAGCGUGGGGAGCGAACAGGAUUAGAUACCCUGGUAGUCCACGCCGUAAACGAUGAGUGCUAAGUGUUAGGGGGUUUCCGCCCCUUAGUGCUGCAGCUAACGCAUUAAGCACUCCGCCUGGGGAGUACGGUCGCAAGACUGAAACUCAAAGGAAUUGACGGGGGCCCGCACAAGCGGUGGAGCAUGUGGUUUAAUUCGAAGCAACGCGAAGAACCUUACCAGGUCUUGACAUCCUCUGACAAUCCUAGAGAUAGGACGUCCCCUUCGGGGGCAGAGUGACAGGUGGUGCAUGGUUGUCGUCAGCUCGUGUCGUGAGAUGUUGGGUUAAGUCCCGCAACGAGCGCAACCCUUGAUCUUAGUUGCCAGCAUUCAGUUGGGCACUCUAAGGUGACUGCCGGUGACAAACCGGAGGAAGGUGGGGAUGACGUCAAAUCAUCAUGCCCCUUAUGACCUGGGCUACACACGUGCUACAAUGGACAGAACAAAGGGCAGCGAAACCGCGAGGUUAAGCCAAUCCCACAAAUCUGUUCUCAGUUCGGAUCGCAGUCUGCAACUCGACUGCGU
rnacentral:rRNA from 1 species